rnacentral:rRNA from 1 species
UACGUGGGGGGCAAGCGUUGUUCGGAAUUACUGGGCGUAAAGGGCGCGUAGGCGGCCUUCUAAGUCGGACGUGAAAUCCCUCGGCUUAACCGAGGAACUGCGUCCGAGACUGAAAGGCUUGAAUCCGGGAGAGGGAUGUGGAAUUCCAGGUGUAGCGGUGAAAUGCGUAGAUAUCUGGAGGAACACCGGUGGCGAAGGCGGCAUCCUGGACCGGCAUUGACGCUGAGGCGCGAAAGCUAGGGGAGCAAACGGG